GUAACAAGGUCUCCGUUGGUGAACCAGCGGAGGGAUCAUUACCGAGUUUACAACUCCCAAACCCCUGUGAACAUACCUUAUGUUGCCUCGGCGGAUCAGCCCGCGCCCCGUAAAAAGGGACGGCCCGCCGCAGGAACCCUAAACUCUGUUUUUAGUGGAACUUCUGAGUAUAAAAAACAAAUAAAUCAAAACUUUCAACAACGGAUCUCUUGGUUCUGGCAUCGAUGAAGAACGCAGCAAAAUGCGAUAAGUAAUGUGAAUUGCAGAAUUCAGUGAAUCAUCGAAUCUUUGAACGCACAUUGCGCCCGCCAGUAUUCUGGCGGGCAUGCCUGUUCGAGCGUCAUUUCAACCCUCAAGCCCAGCUUGGUGUUGGGAGCUGCAGUCCUGCUGCACUCCCCAAAUACAUUGGCGGUCACGUCGAGCUUCCAUAGCGUAGUAAUUUACAUAUCGUUACUGGUAAUCGUCGCGGCCACGCCGUUAAACCCCAACUUCUGAAUGUUGACCUCGGAUCAGGUAGGAAUACCCGCUGAACUUAAGCAUAUCAA
rnacentral:rRNA from 1 species